rnacentral:rRNA from 1 species
UACGUAGGGGUCGAGCGUUGUCCGGAAUUACUGGGCGUAAAGCGUGUGCAGGCGGCUCAUUGCGCCCGGCCGUGAAAGCCCCGGCUCAACCGGGGAGGGUCGUCGGGGACGGGUGAGCUUGAGGGUAUCAGGGGCAGGUAGAAUUCCCGGUGUAGUGGUGAAUGCGUAGAGAUCGGGAGGAAUACCCGUGGCGAAGGCGGCCUGCUGGGAUACACCUGACGCUGAGACACGAAGGCGUGGGGAGCGAACGGG